AGAGUUUGAUCAUGGCUCAGGAUGAACGCUGGUGGCGUGCCUAACACAUGCAAGUCGAGCGAUUUACUUCGGUAAAGAGCGGCGGACGGGUGAGUAACGCGUGGGUAACCUGCCCUGUACACACGGAUAACAUACCGAAAGGUAUGCUAAUACGAGAUAAAAUAUUUUUAUCGCAUGGUAGAAAUAUCAAAGCUUUUGCGGUACAGGAUGGACCCGCGUCUGAUUAGCUAGUUGGUAAGGUAACGGCUUACCAAGGCGACGAUCAGUAGCCGACCUGAGAGGGUGAUCGGCCACAUUGGAACUGAGACACGGUCCAAACUCCUACGGGAGGCAGCAGUGGGGAAUAUUGCACAAUGGGCGAAAGCCUGAUGCAGCAACGCCGCGUGAGCGAUGAAGGCCUUCGGGUCGUAAAGCUCUGUCCUCAAGGAAGAUAAUGACGGUACUUGAGGAGGAAGCCCCGGCUAACUACGUGCCAGCAGCCGCGGUAAUACGUAGGGGGCUAGCGUUAUCCGGAAUUACUGGGCGUAAAGGGUGCGUAGGUGGUUUCUUAAGUCAGAGGUGAAAGGCUACGGCUCAACCGUAGUAAGCCUUUGAAACUGGGGAACUUGAGUGCAGGAGAGGAGAGUGGAAUUCCUAGUGUAGCGGUGAAAUGCGUAGAUAUUAGGAGGAACACCAGUUGCGAAGGCGGCUCUCUGGACUGUAACUGACACUGAGGCACGAAAGCGUGGGGAGCAAACAGGAUUAGAUACCCUGGUAGUCCACGCCGUAAACGAUGAGUACUAGCUGUCGGAGGUUACCCCCUUCGGUGGCGCAGCUAACGCAUUAAGUACUCCGCCUGGGAAGUACGCUCGCAAGAGUGAAACUCAAAGGAAUUGACGGGGACCCGCACAAGUAGCGGAGCAUGUGGUUUAAUUCGAAGCAACGCGAAGAACCUUACCUAAGCUUGACAUCCUUUUGACCGAUGCCUAAUCGCAUCUUUCCCUUCGGGGACAGAAGUGACAGGUGGUGCAUGGUUGUCGUCAGCUCGUGUCGUGAGAUGUUGGGUUAAGUCCCGCAACGAGCGCAACCCUUGCCUUUAGUUGCCAGCAUUAAGUUGGGCACUCUAGAGGGACUGCCAGGGAUAACCUGGAGGAAGGUGGGGAUGACGUCAAAUCAUCAUGCCCCUUAUGCUUAGGGCUACACACGUGCUACAAUGGGUGGUACAGAGGGCAGCCAAGUCGUGAGGCGGAGCUAAUCCCUUAAAGCCAUUCUCAGUUCGGAUUGUAAGCUGAAACUCGCCUACAUGAAGCUGGAGUUACUAGUAAUCGCAGAUCAGAAUGCUGCGGUGAAUGCGUUCCCGGGUCUUGUACACACCGCCCGUCACACCACGGAAGUUGGGGGCGCCCGAAGCCACUUAGCUAACCCUUUUGGGAAGCGAGUGUCGAAGGUGAAAUCAAUAACUGGGGUGAAGUCGUAACAAGGUAGCCGUAUCGGAAGGUGCGGCUGGAUCACCUCCUU
rnacentral:rRNA from 1 species